AACAUCGCGCACCUGCGGGAACCUGCGGAGGGAUCAUUACUGAGUCACGUGCUCAAACAACCCUUCUGUGGACCUGAAAUAAAACCGUUGCCUCGGCGGGCGGUCCCCCCCAAACCAACCCCACGUGGUGGGUUAGGGGAGACCAGACAGUCCGGUACGCUUAAGGCGUCCGGCGCCAGCCGCUGGCCCCAAACAAUUAAACUCUAGUAAUCUUUACCUUCUGAGUUUCAAUAUUUAAAA
rnacentral:misc_RNA from 1 species